rnacentral:lncRNA from 1 species
CGUCAAUGCAAAAGUUAUGCAACCUCUCUAAAAUUUCAUUUGUUUAAAGAACCCACAGUUUUGGCUGGCUUGUGUGCACAGGAUGCUUCUUUGGAAGAUAUUAUAUCUCUGAAAUAGAAGAAACGUGUAUGUUCUUCCCUAAAAGAGCAGUGCUUUUAGAGGAAAUCUGCCUGCUAAGGUAUUUCAUAUACUUCUCAGUAUCAUCUUCCUUGGAAAUAUUAUAUAAGGCUCUGCAGACUGACUCCACAGAAACAAGAAAUGAAUCCAGAUCUCACAGACAGAGGCAUCUUUGUAGUUUGAGUCAAGAAGGACGACAGACAUUUCUUCACAAUUAUGUUUUAAAAGUGUCAUACAAGUUCAUAAUCACUUAAAAACAUUUCUACUCAAUAAGACCACUGGAUAUGUUGGAGCAACCUUGCAAUCUUCUCUGGUUCUUGAACUCAACAUUUACUCAACCAAGUAAAAGAAACUUAUACUGCACAUUAAAGUAAUGAAAUAUUGUUUAUUCUAUUAAGUAUUGGAUUGGAGAGCUGAUAUUGGUCCAGCUUCUCAGACAUAUAUUAGCUUCAAUAUUAGUUUCAAUGGAAAUGUGAUACCUGAAUAUCUAAAUAACUUUUACAGUCUGAAUUGCAAAAUAAAAUGAUGAAGAUAAGAUGCA